rnacentral:misc_RNA from 1 species
GAAAUGCGAUAAGUAAUGUGAAUUGCAGAAUUCAGUGGAUCAUCGAAUCUUUGAACGCACAUUGCGCCCGCCAGUAUUCUGGCGGGCAUGCCUGUUCGAGCGUCAUUUCAACCAUCAAGCCCCCGGCUUGUGUUGGGGACCUGCGGCUGCCCGCAGGCCCUGAAAAACAGUGGCGGGCUCGCUGUCACACCGAGCGUAGUAGCAUACAUUCUCGCUCAGGGCGUGCUGCGGGUUCCGGCCGUUAAACGACCUUCAUAACCCAAGGUUGACCUCGGAUCAGGUAGGAAGACCCGCUGAACUUAAGC